CCUGUCUUUUGGCUUGUAGGAUUGCCCUUUGUGUUCAUUUUCACGUGAUGUCUCCCAGACCAAACUCCUGGAGGAAAGCAGCUGAGGUCUUGAGCUCCACCCUUCAUGCGUAUCCCCUGCCUGUGGCCUAUUGUCUGUCUCCUUUCAGCACCAACGGCAAAGACAUUUUAUCCUGUCUCUUGAGCUAGAAUUGGCAUGUUUUCUUCUCGAAAUUUUUGCCUUGGCCUAGAAUUUUGGACUCUGUUUAGAAUUCCAAAUUGAAAAUAAGUCAGGAGAUCACUGACAAGCUUAGCUGAGUCGGGCAUGAGGCCAUUUCUGAGGCACGUGGGUCUAUUUCACAAUAAUAUGCCAUUAAUGACAUGGACAAGGUCAUCAAACAUUUUAUGGAUGAAACAGCUUUCUCAAACUGCUCUCACGUCUGACUUCUCCCAGUCGUCUACUCAGAGAGGACAAGCCAACUCCGUCUGUUUAUCCUCCCGGGACCCAGCCAGUGCCGCCAUUCCUAUAACUGCUUCUGAACAUCCCAGAUGGGAGGGCCUGAAAGGGGACCCUUCUCCUCAUCAAAACUGCCCACAGCGUGGCAGAAGCUAUGGUCCAUGGCUGCUCUGGCAAUUCAGAAGAGCCCCUUCAGUGUCCACCUGGAGCAAACUACCCAUAAAAAGGUUUAAUCUUACCCAGGUCAAAGAAGAAAUUUUCUGCUUGUUCCGAGCCACUCAGAAUCCAGAAUCAGGUUUGUCAAGAUGACGGAGCACCAAGCUUUCAGUGGAGGUUGAGCUCAUUCACGGGAACGGUCACCAAUGAAAUGUCAACAUCAGACCCAAGAGCCAUUUCUCAAGUAUCAUCCAGAAUCAAGCCUUGGGAUGUCAUUUCUAUCAACCCUGGACAUUUUCUGUCUGCAAUUAACAAUGGAUUCAUAGGCCAUAUCUCAUUCCAACCCCUUUAAAGCAGGUUGGACGCUUAGGUUUAUAAACAUUUAGUCAAAAAGGGAUUGUAACCAGGCCUGUAUUCCUGAGCACAAUCCAGGGUGCAGUAUCGUGGACUAACUCAGUAGGGAACAGGUGAGAUGAGAAGGUCUCCAG
rnacentral:lncRNA from 1 species